AAACGGGAUGAACUAGCAUGCGAGUCAUUGUGGUAAUACAAGGCAGACGGCUCAGUAACGCGUAGUCAACCUAACCUAUGGACGGGAAUAACCUCGGGAAACUGAGAAUAAUGCCCGAUAGAACACUAUGCCUGGAAUGGUUUGUGUUCCAAAUGAUUUAUCGCCGUAGGAUGGGACUGCGGCCUAUCAGUUUGUUGGUGAGGUAAUGGCCCACCAAGACUAUUACAGGUACGGGCUCUGAGAGGAGUGGCCCGGAGAUGGGUACUGAGACACGGACCCAGGCCCUAUGGGGCGCAGCAGGCGAGAAAACUUUGCAAUGUGCGAAAGCACGACAAGGUUAAUCCGAGUGGUUUCUGCUAAAGGAACCUUUUGUCGGUCCUAGAAACACCGAUGAAUAAGGGGUGGGCAAGUUCUGGUGUCAGCCGCCGCGGUAAAACCAGCACCUCAAGUGGUCAGGAUGAUUAUUGGGCCUAAAGCAUCCGUAGCCUGCUUUGUUAGUUUUCGGUUAAAUCUGUACGCUCAACGUACAGGCUGCCGGGAAUACUGCAAAGCUAGGGAGUGGGAGAGGUAGACGGUACUCGGUAGGAAGGGGUAAAAUCCUUUGAUCUAUUGAUGACCACCUGUGGCGAAGGCGGUCUACCAGAACACGUCCGACGGUGAGGGAUGAAAGCUGGGGGAGCAAACCGGAUUAGAUACCCGGGUAGUCCCAGCUGUAAACUAUGCAAACUCAGUGAUGCAUUGGCUUGUGGCCAAUGCAGUGCUGCAGGGAAGCCGUUAAGUUUGCCGCCUGGGAAGUACGUACGCAAGUAUGAAACUUAAAGGAAUUGGCGGGGGAGCACCACAAAGGGUGAAGCCUGCGGUUCAAUUGGAGUCAACGCCGGG
rnacentral:rRNA from 1 species